rnacentral:rRNA from 1 species
AUUGAACGCUGGCGGCAUGCUUUACACAUGCAAGUCGAACGGUAACAGGCCUUCGGGUGCUGACGAGUGGCGAACGGGGGAGUAAUGCAUCGGAACGUACCCAGAGGUGGGGGAUAACGCAGCGAAAGCUGUGCUAAUACCGCAUGUGAUCUGAGGAUGAAAGCGGGGGACCGAGCAGCAAUGUUUGGCCUCGCGCCUUUGGAGCGGCCGAUGUCGGAUUAGCUAGUUGGUGGGGUAAAGGCUUACCAAGGCGACGAUCCGUAGCUGGUCUGAGAGGACGACCAGCCACACUGGGACUGAGACACGGCCCAGACCCCUACGGGAGGCAGCAGUGGGGAAUUUUGGACAAAGGGCGCAAGCCUGAUCCAGCAAUGCCGCGUGCGGGAAGAAGGCCUUCGGGUUGUAAACCGCUUUUGGCAGGAACGAAACGGUGUCCGCUAAUACCGGGCGCUAAUGACGGUACCUGCAGAAUAAGCACCGGCUAACUACGUG